UACAGAGGGGGCAAGCGUUAUUCGGAAUUAUUGGGCGUAAAGGGCGCGUAGGCGGCCUGACAAGUGGAAGGUGAAAUCCCUCGGCUCAACUGAGGAACUGCCCUCCAAACUGUUUGGCUUGAGACCGGGAGAGGUGAGUGGAAUUCCCAGUGUAGCGGUGAAAUGCGUAGAGCUCGGGAAGAACAUCGGUGGCGAAAGCGCUCUACUGGACGACAACUGACACUCAGGGACGAAAGCUAGGGGAGCGAAUGGG
rnacentral:rRNA from 1 species